CCUACGGGAGGCAGCAGUAGGGAAUUUUCGUCAAUGGGCGCAAGCCUGAACGAGCGAUGCCGCGUGAGUGAAGAAGGCCUUCGGGUCGUAAAGCUCUGUUGCGGGGGAAAAAAGGCAGCAUCAGGAAAUGGGUGCUGACUGAUGGUGCCCCGCCAGAAAGUCACGGCUAACUACGUGCCAGCAGCCGCGGUAAUACGUAGGUGGCGAGCGUUAUCCGGAAGGAUUGGGCGUAAAGGGUGCGCAGGCGUUCCUGCAAGUCUGGAGUGAAACGCAUGAGCUCAACUCAUGCAUGGCUUUGGAAACUGGAGGACUGGAGAGCAGGAGAGGGAGGUGGAACUCCAUGUGUAGCGGUAAAAUGCGUAGAUAUAUGGAAGAACACCAGUGGCGAAGGCGGCCGCCUGGCCUGUUGCUGACGCUGAGGCACGAAAGCGUGGGGAGCAAAUAGGAUUAGAUACCCCAGUAGUC
rnacentral:rRNA from 1 species